rnacentral:rRNA from 1 species
UACGUAGGGUGCAAGCGUUGUCCGGAAUUAUUGGGCGUAAAGAGCUCGUAGGCGGUCUGUUGCGUCGGCUGGGAAAACCCGGGGCUCAACUCCGGGCCUGCAGCCGAUACGGGCAGACUAGAGUUCGGCAGGGGAGACUGGAAUUCCAGGUGUAGCGGUGAAAUGCGUAGAUAUCUGGAGGAAUACCGGUGGCGAAGGCGGCAUCCUGGACCGGCAUUGACGCUGAUGAGCGAAAGCUAGGGGAGCAAACAGG